rnacentral:ribozyme from 1 species
AAGAAAGAAAAGAAAAGAGAAGAAAAGAUGGGAGUAGUGAAUUACCUACAUUUGUUCUGCAUCUGAACAGCGCUAUGUAUGCCAUGUACCUCUCCUGCUUUGUUUAAUUUUGGUGCAUCCUUUCUUCUCAAUUGUG